UGCUCUUUGAGCUGUUGGGGGGUGCAGAUACCAGGUGGCUGCGACUGUUUAUCAAAAACACAGCACUCUGCGUAAUCGUAAGAUGAAGUAUAGGGUGUGACGCCUGACCGGUGCUGGAAGGUUAAUUGAAGGGGUUAGCGCAAGCGAAGCUCUGGAUCGAAGCCCCAGUAAACGGCGGCCGAAACUAUAACGGUCCUAAGGUAGCGAAAAUCCUUGUCGGGUAAGUUCCGACCUGCACGACUGGCCUAACGAUGGCCACACUGUCUCCACC
rnacentral:rRNA from 1 species